rnacentral:rRNA from 1 species
CGCAUAUCAGAACGAUGCGGUGAAUACGUUCCCGGGCCUUGUACACACCGCCCGUCACACCACGAAAGUUUGUUGUACCCGAAGUCGGUGCCUUAACCUCGCAAGAGGAGAGAGCCGCCCAAGGUAUGGCCGAUGAUUGGGGUGAAGUCGUAACAAGGUAGCCGUAGGGGAACCUGCGGCUGGAUCACCUCCUUUCUAGGAGAGAAGGGUCCUGGAUGAAGCGCUCCUAUUUAGUCUUGUGAAGGAUCCGAGUGGAAGCCGGGACCGGAGAAAGACCGGGCCUGUAGCUCAGAUGGUGAGAGCGCACGCCUGAUAAGCGUGAGGUCGAUAGUUCGAAUCUAUCCAGGCCCACCAUCUGCGGGGAUGUAGCUCAGUUGGGAGAGCGCCUGCUUUGCAAGCAGGAGGUCAGCGGUUCGAUCCCGCUCAUCUCCACCACGGAGAAGGG